AUGGCCGCCCCUGCCCCCCGCCCUCCCGCCGCUCCGGCCAAGAGGGGGACCACCGGAGCGUUGGAGAUGGCCGAGGCCAUGAACAAGAUGGCCGUCGCCGGCCCCGUCCUUCUCGAGGUCCAGCCCGUCGGCCCGCCACGCCAGGUCCCCGUCAAGCGUACUGCCACCAAGAUCUCCGGUCCGGUCAACCGCUACGGCGUCCUCGCGCGGGAUGUGACCGGCGACCCCGACGACGACAACGCGGCUGCGGCGAGCGCGGACGACGACGACGACGACGACGCGGCGGAGGGCGAGGGCGAGGCGGCGGCGGAGGAGGCGCCGACUGCCUAG
rnacentral:rRNA from 1 species